rnacentral:rRNA from 1 species
AACGCUAGCUACAGGCUUAACACAUGCAAGUCGAGGGGCAGCAUUUUGGUUUGCUUGCAAACCAAAGAUGGCGACCGGCGCACGGGUGAGUAACACGUAUCCAACCUGCCGUUUACCCUUGGAUAGCCUCCUGAAAGGGAGAUUAAUACAAGAUGGCAUCACGAGAUCCCAUGUUCGCGUGAUUAAAGGUUUUCCGGUAAACGAUGGGGAAGCGUUCCAUUAGGUAGUAGGCGGGGUAACGGCCCACCUAGCCGACGAUGGAUAGGGGUUCUGAGAGGAAGGUCCCCCACAUUGGAACUGAGACACGGUCCAAACUCCUACGGGAGGCAGCAGUGAGGAAUAUUGGUCAAUGGGCGAGAGCCUGAACCAGCCAAGUAGCGUGAAGGAUGACUGCCCUAUGGGUUGUAAACUUCUUUUAUACGGGAAUAAAGUCACCUACGUGUAGGUGUUUGUAUGUACCGUAUGAAUAAGGAUCGGCUAACUCCGUGCCAGCAGCCGCGGUAAUACGGAGGAUCCGAGCGUUAUCCGGAUUUAUUGGGUUUAAAGGGAGCGUAGAUGGGCGUUUAAGUCAGUUGUGAAAGUUUGCGGCUCAACCGUAAAAUUGCGGUUGAUACUGGGCGCCUUGAGUGCAGUUGAGGUAGGCGGAAUUCGUGGUGUAGCGGUGAAAUGCUUAAAUAUCACGAAGAACUCCGAUUG